rnacentral:lncRNA from 1 species
GCAUAGUUGUAUCAAGAACUAACAUAUGGUGAUGGUUAGAGAGGUUUGAAACCUUUGUUGUCUCCAUUUCUCUAGAAUAGCAAUUUUAUUGGGGUUUGUCCACUCAUUUAGGGAGCAUAUGAAGUUUUACUAAAUUUAUUGAUAAAAAAUAAAACGAUGCCCAUGUACCAUGAAAAAGAAUUUAUAGUACAUUAAUAAAAAUUUAGAAUGUGGUUAUAAAUUAAAAAAAAAACACUAAAGAUUAUAGGCUUCAGUAUAUUAACCUUUUACCGAAAAACUGAAUAUUUU